ACCGGACGUCCCGUUCCGCUGACACGUCGCUGCUCUGCCGCCUGGCACCUGCUGACCGGACACUCCGGCUCCGGUUUCCUGCCUCGCUGCCGCCCCGCCGCGCGCUCAGGCAGAGCCAGGGGACUUCCUGUGUGACAGGUUGAAACGUCACGGCGACCCGCUGCUCUCGCGUGAUUUCACGCUUUUAUUUUGAAACGUUUCAGCGCGACCCGAAAACAUGAAACAGUGGUACGUCCCGGAACUCCUCUGGCCCCGCCCCCUCACCUACUUCUGACCAAUCAGAGAAAAACAACGUGGCGGUGAGCGACAGAGCGGCGGCCGUGCUGCGUUUACACACCAGGAGAAAGAUGGGAGAAAGGAGCUUCAAGUGGAAACAACACAAGUCAGAGUCACUUCAGUGAUCCUGAGGGAAACUGGGUCACCUGCUGCUGCUCAACGUCACA